AGCAAAGUGAGCCCUAACCGUUUGCUUGCUGGUGACGUCAUGGGACGGGGGAAAAGCCUCGGGCGACCAUGUUGAGAAAGAUUUGCCGUGUGGCCCACUAAGGACGCGUAGAGGCCUGAGUCGAGACAGUGGCGAACCAAUCCCGCUAAAGUUGAUGGAGUCCAAAUGACGACCACGUAGUUUAGUCGCCGCUUUGCCCAAGAAUAAGACAAAUUGCGGCGGAGCAACGUUAGAAGCAAGAAUAGAGGGCAGUCAGGAGANUAAGAAUUAGACAGGUGUGUUGGCACCUCUCCCCAAGAAUUUGGCAGGCGGAAAAGCUGGAGGCGAGGUCAGGAGUUUUUUGGUGAUACCCUGUUAUUGUCAUAUGAUGCCAAAAAGCGCCAGCCUGAACUUGUCAAAUACUUGUUUUGGCUCCAGCGCUUUAACGGGAUCAGAAAGCGUCUUCUGAGAGUCUUAAUAACAAGGCUUAAAGUAAAGAGAAAAAAAUACUUUCGGGCAUUGACUUGAGCGGAAGUCGAGGGAGUAGCAGUCUGUGGAAGAGGGCAGCCAUACAAACGUUCGUGUACAGCGUACAAGUAUCAGAUGGUUCGCAGGAGACUCACUACAGCCAGCAGUGUAGAUGUACGCUGCACCCGAAAACAAAACUCCACGCUGGACAGGUGAAAAUGCCACUUAAAAUCCUGAAAAUGGAAACAGGAUAAAACAUUUGGAAUGUAGAAAUGUUAUACGUUGCUGGCCAUAUAGAUUUAGUAAUUAUUAGAGUUUAAAACAGAUUUAUAUAAAGUUUGGCAGCAGGGUGUGCAUGCACACUCAAAAGAAACUGUACUUAUUAAAGCAAUAUGGUCACUCACUGCCCCAGACACUGAGGAGGAUGAUGUCAUCUCAGAAGCACAUGUUUUGCUGCAGCAGCAUCGCGAUUCCUCCCAGAAGGGGGCUGUCUAACAUGCAGAUUGAGCAGGAGGCAACAGGGCUGACCUCUCUCGAGUGAUAGUUAGGGUCUUUUAUCGUGGACUCCCAGGACAAUAUAUAACGUAAUUAAUUACAGAUUUUUGCUAUGCACGUUGCACCCUCUAUAAGUAGCUUGAUGCCCACAGCAUUAUGGGUAGCAUGGUUUGUAAACCAACUGCAGGCAUUUGUGUUGGAUGCAAUAACAGGCAAGGAUUUUGUCUUGACUACUGGACUGGAAUUUUCCCAGCAUUAA
rnacentral:lncRNA from 1 species